AUUGAACGCUGGCGGCAUGCUUUACACAUGCAAGUCGAACGGUAACAGGCCGCAAGGUGCUGACGAGUGGCGAACGGGUGAGUAAUGCAUCGGAACGUGCCCAGUCGUGGGGGAUAACGCAGCGAAAGCUGCGCUAAUACCGCAUACGAUCUAUGGAUGAAAGCGGGGGACCGUAAGGCCUCGCGCGAUUGGAGCGGCCGAUGUCAGAUUAGGUAGUUGGUGGGGUAAAGGCUCACCAAGCCAACGAUCUGUAGCUGGUCUGAGAGGACGACCAGCCACACUGGGACUGAGACACGGCCCAGACUCCUACGGGAGGCAGCAGUGGGGAAUUUUGGACAAUGGGCGCAAGCCUGAUCCAGCAAUGCCGCGUGCAGGAAGAAGGCCUUCGGGUUGUAAACUGCUUUUGUACGGAACGAAACGGUCCUGGUUAAUACCUGGGGCUAGUGACGGUACCGUAAGAAUAAGCACCGGCUAACUCCGUGCCAGCAGCCGCCGUAACAC
rnacentral:rRNA from 1 species